GUUAUAUGGUCAAGUGAAGAAGCGCAUACGGUGGAUGCCUUGGCAGUCAGAGGCGAUGAAAGACGUGGUAGCCUGCGAUAAGCUUCGGGGAGUCGGCAAACAGACUUUGAUCCGGAGAUCUCUGAAUGGGGGAACCCAGCCAUCAUAAGAUGGUUAUCUUGUACUGAAUACAUAGGUGCAAGAGGCGAACCAGGGGAACUGAAACAUCUAAGUACCCUGAGGAAAAGAAAUCAACCGAGAUUCCCUUAGUAGUGGCGAGCGAACGGGGACUAGCCCUUAAGUGGCUUUGAGAUUAGCGGAACGCUCUGGAAAGUGCGGCCAUAGUGGGUGAUAGCCCUGUACGCGAAAGUCUCUUAGUCAUGAAAUCGAGUAGGACGGAGCACGAGAAACUUUGUCUGAAUAUGGGGGGACCAUCCUCCAAGGCUAAAUACUACUGACUGACCGAUAGUGAACUAGUACCGUGAGGGAAAGGCGAAAAGAACCCCGGAGAGGGGAGUGAAAUAGAUCCUGAAACCGUAUGCGUACAAGCAGUGGGAGCAGACUUUGUUCUGUGACUGCGUACCUUUUGUAUAAUGGGUCAGCGACUUAUAUUCAGUGGCGAGCUUAACCGAAUAGGGGAGGCGUAGCGAAAGCGAGUGUUAAUAGCGCGUUUAGUCGCUGGGUAUAGACCCGAAACCGGGCGAUCUAUCCAUGGGCAGGUUGAAGGUUGGGUAACACUAACUGGAGGACCGAACCGACUACCGUUGAAAAGUUAGCGGAUGACCUGUGGAUCGGAGUGAAAGGCUAAUCAAGCUCGGAGAUAGCUGGUUCUCCUCGAAAGCUAUUUAGGUAGCGCCUCAUGUAUCACUGUAGGGGGUAGAGCACUGUUUCGGCUAGGGGGUCAUCCCGACUUACCAAACCGAUGCAAACUCCGAAUACCUACAAGUGCCGAGCAUGGGAGACACACGGCGGGUGCUAACGUCCGUCGUGAAAAGGGAAACAACCCAGACCGUCAGCUAAGGUCCCAAAGUUAUGGUUAAGUGGGAAACGAUGUGGGAAGGCUUAGACAGCUAGGAGGUUGGCUUAGAAGCAGCCACCCUUUAAAGAAAGCGUAAUAGCUCACUAGUCGAGUCGGCCUGCGCGGAAGAUGUAACGGGGCUCAAACCAUACACCGAAGCUACGGGUAUCACGUAAGUGAUGCGGUAGAGGAGCGUUCUGUAAGCCUGUGAAGGUGAGUUGAGAAGCUUGCUGGAGGUAUCAGAAGUGCGAAUGCUGACAUGAGUAACGACAAUGGGUGUGAAAAACACCCACGCCGAAAGACCAAGGUUUCCUGCGCAACGUUAAUCGACGCAGGGUUAGUCGGUCCCUAAGGCGAGGCUGAAAAGCGUAGUCGAUGGAAAACAGGUUAAUAUUCCUGUACUUCUAGUUAUUGCGAUGGAGGGACGGAGAAGGCUAGGCCAGCUUGGCGUUGGUUGUCCAAGUUUAAGGUGGUAG
rnacentral:rRNA from 1 species